CCUCAUCUAUAACAUGGCGAUAGAAAUGCCCAUCUCACAGGGUUGUUGAUAGCUACUAUUACAAUUUAUUAUUAUUAUUAAACGAGAGAUAAUGUUUAAGAGGGAAAGUCAGUGAAGGGGUGAAGAGAGAGAGGGAUCUGCCUCUGGGAGUGGUGGUUUGGGGACAACACAUCACACUGGCAUAAAGACUUUGCAUAUUCCAGGAUAACUGAGGGAUUGUGUUAAGCAGCAGUCCCGGUCCCCAGGCCUUCAACAUUGACAGCCAGCAUCCAGAUCAGCAGAACUCUGGAAAUUCUAUCUGCCUCUGUUCUUCUAAUUGAAAACUAAUUGUCCUAUAGGGCUGAGCUUAAUCCUAUCUACUCAGUGGAGCCCAUUCUGACGGCCACAGCCAACGGCGAUCUGACUCCCCCAAACAACUUGUGCUCCUCUCACUGGACAUUUAGUGGAAGCUGUC
rnacentral:lncRNA from 1 species